rnacentral:misc_RNA from 1 species
UUUCCGUAGGUGAACCUGCGGAAGGAUCAUUAAAGAAUUGCCCCGUCUUCUCGAAGAUGGGUUCUAUUCCAAGCCGUGUUUACAUACCUUUGUUGCUUUGGCGGGCCGCCGCUUCGGCGUUGGCUCCGGCUGACUGCGCCCGCCAGAGGACCACAACUCUUUUGUUUAGUAAUGUCUGAGUACUAUAUAAUAGUUAAAACUUUCAACAACGGAUCUCUUGGUUCUG